rnacentral:lncRNA from 1 species
UUUAGGAUUAGGAUACUUGUGAGCUUCUUGCCGGGGAGGAAAUUUAUGGACUGUUUUAGGUUCGGACAGCCUUGUAGUGGGGGGUUGGUCCUUGUUUUUGGGCCAACCCAAAGAUGGUUGAACCAUAUCUUUGCUCCUCGGCCAACCCGAGGUUGAUGGUCCCUUUGCCUUGAACGACGACCUCUCUUUAAGCUCCCUUUCAAUCUCAAGAGCUGCUUGGAAAAUCCCUUCAACGGUAUCAAACUUGUGAAGCGUCAAAUGAGUGGAGAUCUCUUUGUUCAACCCACACUUGAACUGAAUGAUGUCAUGGCCAAUUUGUUCUCC